rnacentral:rRNA from 1 species
UCCUACGGGAGGCAGCAGUGGGGAAUAUUGCACAAUGGGGGAAACCCUGAUGCAGCGACGCCGCGUGAGUGAGGAAGUAUUUCGGUAUGUAAAGCUCUAUCAGCAGGGAAGAAAAUGACGGUACCUGACUAAGAAGCCCCGGCUAACUACGUGCCAGCAGCCGCGGUAAUACGUAGGGGGCAAGCGUUAUCCGGAUUUACUGGGUGUAAAGGGAGCGUAGGCGGAAUGUCAAGUCAGCGGUAAAAUUUCGGGGCUCAACCCCGUCGUGCCGUUGAAACUGGCGUUCUUGAGUGAGCGAGAAGUAU